rnacentral:rRNA from 1 species
AGUGAACGCUGGCGGUAGGCCUAACACAUGCAAGUCGAACGGCAGCACAGAGGAGCUUGCUCCUUGGGUGGCGAGUGGCGGACGGGUGAGGAAUACAUCGGAAUCUACUCUGUCGUGGGGGAUAACGUAGGGAAACUUACGCUAAUACCGCAUACGACCUACGGGUGAAAGCAGGGGACCUUCGGACCUUGCGCGAUUGAAUGAGCCGAUGUCGGAUUAGCUAGUUGGCGGGGUAAAGGCCCACCAAGGCGACGAUCCGUAGCUGGUCUGAGAGGAUGAUCAGCCACACUGGAACUGAGACACGGUCCAGACUCCUACGGGAGGCAGCAGUGGGGAAUAUUGGACAAUGGGCGCAAGCCUGAUCCAGCCAUACCGCGUGGGUGAAGAAGGCCUUCGGGUUGUAAAGCCCUUUUGUUGGGAAAGAAAUCCAUCUGGUUAAUACCCGGGUGGGAUGACGGUACCCAAAGAAUAAGCACCGGCUAACUUCGUGCCAGCCGCCGCCGUAA